GAACUGUCUCUUAUUUAAUUAUAAAAUUUAAUUUUUUUAUUAAAAAGUUAAAAUAUUUUAAAAAGACGAGAAGACCCUAUAGAGUUUAAUAAAUUAUUAAAUUAAGAUUAUAUGUAAAAUAAAUUUGAAAUUAAAUUAUUUAUUUUGUUGGGGUGACAAAAAAAUAUAUAAAACUUUUUUUUUACAUAAAAACAUUUAUAAGUGAUUAUAUGAUCCAGUAAUAUUGAUUAUAAGAAAAAAUUACCUUAGGGAUAACAGCGUAAUUUUUUUUUUUAGUACAAAUAAGAAAAAGAGUUUGCGACCUCGAUGUUGGAUUAAGAUAAAAUUUAAAUGUAGAAG
rnacentral:rRNA from 1 species